GAUUAACGCUGGCGGCGUGCAUAACACAUGCAAGUCGAACGAUGAAACUUAACUGAUUUCUUCGGAAUGAUUUUAAGUGGCUUAGUGGCGGACGGGUGAGUAACGCGUGAGUAACCUGCCUUGGAGAAGGGGAUAGCCAUUGGAAACGAAGAAUAAUACCCUAUGAUAUGAUAAUAUCUCAUGAUAUUAUCAUCAAAGAUUUAUCGCUCUAAGAUGGACUUGCGUCUGAUUAGUUAGUUGGUGAGGUAACCGCUCACCAAGGCAGCGAUCAGUAGCCGGCUUGAGGGAGUGUACGGCCACAUUGGGACUGAGACACGGCCCAGACUCCUACGGGAGGCAGCAGUGGGGAAUUUGGAACAAUGGGGGAAACCCGGAGGCAGCGACACCGUGUGAUUUAGAAAUCCGUCGGGUUGUAAAAAUCUUUUGUAUGGGAAGAAAAUGACAGUACCAUACGAAUAAGGACCGGCUAAUUACGUG
rnacentral:rRNA from 1 species